rnacentral:rRNA from 1 species
UACGGGGGGAGCAAGCGUUGUUCGGAUUUACUGGGCGUAAAGGGCGCGUAGGCGGCUUUGCAAGUGGCGGGUGAAAUCCCUCGGCUUAACCGAGGAACUGCCUGCCAGACUGUGAGGCUCGAGACCGGGAGAGGUGAGUGGAAUUCCCAGUGUAGCGGUGAAAUGCGUAGAUAUUGGGAGGAACACCAGUGGCGAAGGCGGCUCACUGGACCGGAACUGACGCUGAGGCGCGAAAGCGUGGGGAGCAAACAGG